GCGCUUGCUUCGGCAGCACAUAUACUAAAAUCGGAAUGAUUCAGAGAUUAGUGUGGCCCCUGCGCAACGGUGACAUGCAAAUUCGUGGAGUGUUCCAUAUUUUG